rnacentral:rRNA from 1 species
AUUGAACGCUGGCGGCAGGCUUAACACAUGCAAGUCGAGCGGAGAUGAGGUGCUUGCACCUUAUCUUAGCGGCGGACGGGUGAGUAAUGCUUAGGAAUCUGCCUAUUAGUGGGGGACAACAUUCCGAAAGGAAUGCUAAUACCGCAUACGUCCUACGGGAGAAAGCAGGGGAUCUUCGGACCUUGCGCUAAUAGAUGAGCCUAAGUCGGAUUAGCUAGUUGGUGGGGUAAAGGCCUACCAAGGCGAAGAUCUGUAGCGGGUCUGAGAGGAUGAGCCGCCACACUGGGACUGAGACACGGCCCAGACUCCUACGGGAGGCAGCAGUGGGGAAUAUUGGACAAUGGGGGGAACCCUGAUCCAGCCAUGCCGCGUGUGUGAAGAAGGCCUUAUGGUUGUAAAGCACUUUAAGCGAGGAGGAGGCUACUGAGACUAAUACUCUUGGAUAGUGGACGUUACUCGCAGAAGAAGCACCGGCUAACUCUGUGCCAGCAGCCGCCGUAA